rnacentral:rRNA from 1 species
UACAGAGGUGCCAAGCGUUAGGCGGAAUCACUGGGCUUAAAGCGUGUGUAGGCGGACGCCUAAGUGUCUUGUGAAAUCCCACGGCUCACCCGUGGAACUGCUGGGCAUACUGGGCGUCUUGGGCCAACUAGGGGCAGCCGGAACAAGCGGUGGAGCGGUGAAAUGCGUAGAUAUCGCUUGGAACGCCGAAGGUGAAAACAGGUUGCUGGGGUUGUGCCGACGCUGAGACACGAAAGCCAGGGGAGCAAACGGG